rnacentral:rRNA from 1 species
GCAAGCGUUAUCCGGAAUUAUUGGGCGUAAAGCGUCCGCAGGUGGCUAUUCAAGUCUGCGGUCAAAGACUGGGGCUUAACCCUGGAAAGGCCGUGGAAACUGAAGAGCUAGAGUGCAGUAGGGGUAGAGGGAAUUCCCGGUGUAGCGGUGAAAUGCGUAGAGCUCGGGAAGAACAUCGGUGGCGAAAGCGCUCUGCUGGACUGCAACUGACACUCAGGGACGAAAGCUAGGGGAGCGAAUGGG